UACGUAGGGGGCAAGCGUUGUCCGGAUUUAUUGGGCGUAAAGAGCGUGUAGGCGGCCAGGUAGGUCCGUUGUGAAAACCUGGAGGCUUAACCUCCAGCUGUCGAUGGAAACCAUCUGGCUAGAGUCCGGAAGAGGAGAGUGGAAUUCCUGGUGUAGCGGUGAAAUGCGCAGAUAUCAGGAAGAACACCCGUGGCGAAGGCGGCUCUCUGGGACGGUACUGACGCUGAGACGCGAAAGCGUGGGGGAGCGAAACAGG
rnacentral:rRNA from 1 species